GUUCUCCAGAUUCCUUUCCUCUCGGAUCUAAACAGUGGUCUGAGUGGCUCUAAAAGGAGGAGGAGAACAAGUGACAUGAACUUGGACUCUUUGGGGACAUGCAAGUUCAUUUCAAAAAAAG
rnacentral:snoRNA from 1 species